rnacentral:rRNA from 1 species
UACGUAGGGGGCAAGCGUUGUCCGGAUUUAUUGGGCGUAAAGAGCGUGUAGGCGGCCUGAAAGGUCAGCUGUGAAAACUCGAGGCUCAACCUCGAGACGCCGGUUGAAACCAUCUGGCUAGAGUCCGGAAGAGGAGAGUGGAAUUCCUGGUGUAGCGGUGAAAUGCGCAGAUAUCAGGAAGAACACCCGUGGCUAAGGCGGCUCUCUAGUACGGUACUGACGCUGAGACGCGAAAGCGUGGGGAGCGAACAGG